UUUUCCGGUUUGAUCCUGCCGGAGGCUACCGCUAUUGGAAUCCGAUUAAGCCAUGCAAGUCGAGAGAUUUCGGAUCUCGGCAGACGUCUCAGUAACACGUGGACAAUCUGCCCUUGAGUGGGGGAUAAGCUUGGAAACCUGAGUAUAAUACCCCAUAGGCCUAGGAUGCUGGAAUGCUUCUAGGCUGAAAGCUCCGGCGCUCAAGGAUGAGUCUGCGACCUAUCAGGCUGUAGUGGGUGUAACGGACCCACUAACCUUCGACGGGUACGGGCCUUGAGAGAGGUUGCCCGGAGUUGGACUCUGAGACACGAGUCCAGGCCCUACGGGGUGCAGCAGGCGCGAAAACUUCACAAUGUGGGAAACCGCGAUGAGGGGAUUCCAAGUGCCAACACACAGUGUUGGCUGUUCAUCUGCCUAAAAAGCUGGUGAAGUAAGGGCCGGGUAAGACGGGUGCCAGCCGCCGCGGUAAUACCCGCGGCCCGAGUGGUGGUCGUUAUUAUUGAGCCUAAAGCGUCCGUAGCCGGUUUAGUAAAUCUCUGGGUAAAUCGGGCGGCUUAACCGUCCGAAUUCCGGAAAGACUGCUAAACUUGGGACCGGGGGAGGUUGGAGGUACUCCUGGGGUAGGGGUGAAAUCCUGUAAUCCUGGGGGGACCACCAGUGGCGAAGGCGUCCAACCAAAACGGCUCCGACGGUAAGGGACGAAGCCCUGGGGCGCAAACGGGAUUAGAUACCCCGGUAGUCCAGGGUGUAAACGCUGCAGGCUUGGUGUUGGGGGUCCCACGAGGGCGCCCAGUGCCGGAGAGAAGUUGUUAAGCCUGCCGCUUGGGGAGUACGUCCGCAAGGAUGAAACUUAAAGGAAUUGGCGGGGGAGCACAGCAACGGGUGGAGCGUGCGGUUCAAUUGGAUUCAACGCCGGAAAUCACUAGU
rnacentral:rRNA from 1 species